rnacentral:rRNA from 1 species
UACGUAGGGUGCAAGCGUUAAUCGGAAUUACUGGGCGUAAAGCGUGCGCAGGCGGUUUUGUAAGUCAGAUGUGAAAUCCCCGGGCUUAACCUGGGAACUGCGUUUGAAACUACAAGGCUAGAGUGUGGCAGAGGGGGGUGGAAUUCCACGGUGUAGCAGGUGAAAUGCGUAGAGAUGAUGGAGGAACACCGAUGGCGAAGGCAGCCCCCUGGGUUAACACCUGACGCUCAGGCACGAAAGCGUGGGGAGCAACAGGAUUGAGAUAC